rnacentral:misc_RNA from 1 species
GGGUCAUCUUUCUGAUUGAGCUCCUGCAAAGCUCAAACCACCCAGGUCUACCCAAACCCCUGGCAGUUCCAAGAUAUCGUCGUCAUGGCGACCAAGGUGGCUUUGGGUCAGCCACCGAAGCCUCAACAAUAACAUUUUCUAUAGUAUUAUCUUCUGUCGCAACACUUAUACGGACUUCUGAUUCUUUACCUUUUAUUUCUC